rnacentral:rRNA from 1 species
AUUGAACGCUGGCGGCAGGCCUAACACAUGCAAGUCGAGCGAGCGGCGGACGGGUGAGUAAUGUAUGGGGACUGCCCGAUAGAGGGGGAUAACUACUGGAAACGGUGGCUAAUACCGCAUACUAUCGGAUAACCCAUAUGGGAUUAGCUAGUAGGUGGGGUAAAGGCUCACCUAAGCGCAGAUCUCUAGCUGGUCUGAGAGGAUGAUCAUCAACACCAGAACGUAGAUACGGCCCAUAAUCAUACGGAGGAAGGAGUGGGGAAUAUUGCACAAUGGGCGAAAGCCUGAUGCAGCAAUACCGCGUGUAGGAAGAAGGACAUAGGGUGGUAAAGUACUUUCAGUGGGGAGGCGUUACCCGCAGAAGAAGCACCGGCUAACUCCGUGCCAGCAGCCGCGGUAAUUC